CACGGAUGAAGUAAGGGCAAUGAACGCGAUAUUCUCUAAAGAACAUUUGGGUCAAGAUGGCUGUCUUUACUUUCCCGUUUAUGUAGCCAAGAAUGAACAGAGAAAAAUCUUUACCAAAUUUAGCAAUUAUUAUUAUUAUUAUUAUUAUUAUUAUUAUUAUUAUUAUUAUUUUGAGACAGUCUCACUCUGUCGUCCAAGCUGGAGUGCUGUGGCGUGAUCUCGGCUCACUGCAAGCUCCGCCUCCCAGAUUCACGCCAUUCUCCUGCCUCAGCCUCCCGAGUAGCUGGGACUACGGGCACCUGCCACCACGCCCGGCUAAUUUUUUUUUGUAUUUUUAGUGGAGACUGGGUUUCACCGUGUUAGCCAGGAUGGUCUCGAACUCCUGACCUCAUGAUCCACCCGCCUCGGCCUCCCAAAGUGCUGGGAUUACAGGCAUGAGCCACCGCGCCUGGCCCAAACUUAGAAGUUAUUGAGGGUUGCCAUCAAUAUGGCGGAAAUUGUAAGGCACGUUUACAACACGAAGCGAAGAGAAGGGAUUCGCUAAUGGGCUUCACUGCUUGAAGGAAAUGCCUGGCUGAGGCAUAAGUUGAAGGUCCUCGGGAAGAACUCCAUGUUAUCUGGAAACGACUCCUGAGCUUGGACAGAUUUGUCCCAGGGAAAGAAGAGCCUUGAUCGUACCUUUGGCAAAAGCUCAAAGUGCAAGAGAUCAUCCCGGGUAGAGAAGCCAGGUGUGGCACUCAUUCUUGACCUACACCUGGCAGGGAUGGAACCAGUAUUGCAGGAGGUGCUGGUCCAGCUGACUUCUCACUCUACAGCAAACCCAGGAGUGUAACCUGCAGCAGAAGGCAGUGCCCCCACUUGCUGUUUUCUACUGCUUACUGAAAAGCAGAUCUCAAUUUCAGCAAAGCACUACCAGAUUUUUCAUCCUUCUUUUUCCUGGAUCUGAGAGAUGUAAAAGUAUUAUAGUUAGAGUGAUUCAGACGGAACCCAUUUUAAACACACUCUGUAAGGUUUUUCGUGGGAGAUGCGCCAUUAUGUUUGAAAAUACAAGAGGUGUUUAUGGAGAAAGAUGGAAGCUGCUUAUGAGACACAAGACAGGCCCUGUGGAAGUUUAGUCAUGAAGAAGAUAAAGAAGAUUUUCUGGAGGGAUCCUCUAGAAACAAACAACAAAACCCACAAAUUAUAAUGCAUCUGCACUUAGACUGCUAGGAACUUUGACUCGAUGGAGUGAAAGCUUAAGGCUUUGUUCUUUACCUGUGCUGCUUUCAAAAAAUGUGGACAGUGGGUCCAUUUUUGCAAGCAGAAGUUGUUUAACCAUGAGAUGAAUGUCCCAUGAUUUCAAAUGAUAUAUAAUAAACACUUUUCUUUUGUGUUUCCAAUCUA
rnacentral:lncRNA from 1 species